GGAGGGUGUAGCUCAUAGUGGUAGAGCUCAUGCUUUGCAUGCAUGAGGUCCUGGGUUCAAUCCCCAGUGCCUCCU